CCACUGGUUUCGCCGGAAAAUCCUUGUGUCGCGAUCGCGCCCGUUGCCUUGGCUAUACAUACAUAUAUGCUGAUGCAUGGCAUGUAGCCGCACCGCCGAUGUGCGAAUAUUUUGAGCUAAAAUAUAUAUCUGUGCGCUGAGUAAACACGCAAGUACGCAGCACAAGUACUAUCUCUGCGCCCGUGUGUGUGUGUAAUCGCUGCGAACGUGAGAAUCGCAAGUUCGCUGUGUGGUUGUUGUAACAUCGAUGUGGAGUGUCAAUUAUGUGGAAAUAUAUUUACAAAGAUGCCCCCUGUGCCAGUGCGUGUGUGUGAGUGAGUUCUCCUGGCACUGAAUGUCACUGCAAGAGCGAGAGGGAGAGCGCGAGUGUGUGGGAGUGGAAGUGGGGCUGCUCUCUUUCCAGUGCGUGUAGAUCAGUUGCCGCCAGCACCAACAACGGCAGCAACAACACGGACAACAAACAAACAAACAAGCAAACAAGCGACAAUUCACAUUCAUUCCCAUUCAUUGCUGCGAUUAUCGCCAGUUUUGCUUUGCUCUUUCACCACGCACGAACACGAAUCGGUGGGUGCAAGGAAGUGGAAGUGAGUGUGGAGAGUGUGAAGAGUCCGAAGAGUGUGUAGAGUGGAAAGCUGAAGAAGAGAGCUCAGUCGCGUGUGAACCGUUGGAAAAUGCGCGGGGGGAGCGGAUAGGGAGAUUGAAGCGGAUGAAGAGGAAGCAGCAACAGUCCGAAAGUUCGCUCUGGGCACGCCCCCUUAUGACGCCCCCUGUGACGCGUUAUCAGCGGACACCCAACAAACACAAAGACCUGACCAAAAUCCACACAAAAUGGCGAUAAACUCGAGUGCCAGAGAAUCGCCGCGGGCCUAAGCCAAAAAGUUCCUUCUCUCCAACAAAAACAACCGAAAGGAGGUAAACAAACUCGUUUUUGCCCCCAAACAACAACAACAACACACGCCACCAGCCUCCCGCCGAACCCACCAGAGCCAGCGAUAAGUAUCCCAAAGUUUGGGUGGCCCAGUCCACAGAAAACCCCGCACCAAACCCGAAACAAGCGCCUAAGAUGUGUUCCCGCAACAUAAAGAUCUCGGUGGUGCUGUUUCUUGUCUUGAUACCAAUCUUCGCCGCCUUGCCACACAACCACAAUCUGUCGAAGCGCAGCAAUUUCUUCGAUCUGGAGUGCAAGGGCAUCUUCAACAAGACCAUGUUCUUCCGACUGGACCGCAUCUGCGAGGAUUGCUAUCAGUUGUUCCGCGAGACGAGUAUACACCGAUUAUGCAAGAAAGACUGCUUUGAUUCGAAAUGGUUCGGCUCAUGCCUGAAAGUGCUGUUAAUACCCGAGGAGGAAAUCUCGAACUUACAGCACUUUCUGAGAGUAGUGAAUGGCUCGCCCAUAUCCUUCAACAUGGCGCCGGAAACAUAACUCUAAGUUACCGCCCCGCCCCACCCCCUCAUACACACACACACGCCCACAAGCUCACCCACACACAGAUACAAAUCGCUGCAAGGCGGAUGGGAUAUGCGAUCCAAUCCAGCCAGAACCACAAAUGCAGAGCCAGAACAAAGAAAUCUAAAAUAUUAAACGCCCAAAUUUAAUUCGUACUUAUUUAUUACUGUAUGCCUAACAGUUUUUAGUGUAUGUGUUUUUUUAAAAACGAAUUAUUUUUAUUAAUUUAUUGAGAACGUUAUGCGUUUGUUGUAAGCUACAUUAUCGGGCGAGUGAGAGAUGAGCGAAGAUGAUAUGAUGGUGACGAUGAGAAGUUCGCAGAUCUCACAACUCCCCAAAAAUACCCAUAGAAGCCGAAGUAUUUAUUUUUAAGUAUUCCUAGCUUGUUUUAUUAUUAUUGCGUUAUGCGUUAUGUAUAUAAAAUAAACAAAACGAAAUCCAUUGUUUUUAAUCUAUGUAAUGUAAAAUGAUUACUUUUACUUUUAUUUUUGUAUUUGUAUUCUAUUGUAAAAUCAGCAUUUAAAAUUUACAUUUUACACGAUUUUCCGCAAGGGCGAAAAGAUACAGAUACAGAUACACGUAGAAGAUAAAAGAUAAAGAUACACACACAUACACCGCACACGAGACCGAAAGUAUUUUGCCAAUGUAUUACCCUUACAAUUUUGUGCUAUUUUGUAAAGAUAAAACCCCUAAUUAGCAUAAAUAUGUUGGCGCAGAGAGCAAAUGCAGGCCAACGAAUAUAACUAUGUAAAAUCGCUAAAUCCUACAUUUAUCCGAAUACGAGUACCCUGCAAAUAUUACAGAAAAUAAGAGUACGCAAGAACGCAAUUUGUGCAAGACACAAACAAAAACCCCUGGUAAAAACACGCGAAAAGGACUGCAUUACAAAUGUGGCCAAAACGAUUAUAACCCCAUGUAAAAUAAUAAAACAUAAUCAUUCGCUGGCUAUUUGAGAGCAUCAAAAUUGUGAUAAAUGAGAAUUAGAAUGCGAAUGCGCCACGCAAAACGGCCAGAGAUCCAGAGAACCGAGAAAGGGAUCGCUAGAGAGGCGGCGACAGAGACAGCUAAGCCGCCGGAGAAAGAGACCGCCAUAGAGGAGGCGAGAGAGACGGACACUCAGCAGCUGGCGACUUGCGCGCGUUUUUGGCGCGACUAUAAACGCCUGCUUACCGUUUUUGUUUGGCAAGAGUGCUUCGGAUCGCCCUUCUUCAACGCCUGCAUAGAGGCUCUUCAGCUGCACGAGGAGAUGGACAAGUACAACGAGUGGCGCGAUACCCUGGGACGCAAGUAAACGGCGACCAUCUACGAUUUUCUGGCACCGUCACUGGCACGAGCAGCUACUUAAUUCUAUAAACUAUACCUACAACUAUUAUUAUUGAUAACUGUGACAGAACACGGCACGGAACAAUGGCAACCAGGAAACGAUCGACCCGAGGAAUGUGUACCACUUAAAGAAAUGAAUAAAUUAGAUGGAUAGAGAGGCAGAUCAAAAAUGUUGAAAAAAAAUGGAAACAAUUACUAAGCUAUUACACGUUACUUAUCCGCACCGAUAUCUAAAAGCGAACAUUUGUCUAUAUUUAUUUCUACUGUUCCCCGUCAUGCACAUCGAUCCGUUUAUCAGUCUCGUGGAGCUCUUAGUUUUAGUGAGAUGACGAGAACUAUGCUAACUCUUCGGUUCUUCCAGACCAACAGGAAAGUGAGAACGAACGAACGAACAAGAAUCAAAAUGUCUGAUGUAAAUAAAUUAUUUUGUCUUCUUUUAAAGAUUUCUAUACAUACAUAUUUAUAACGCCUAACUAUUUUGUACAUUUCGUUUAUUUCGUAAGCUUAAGUUACUUGUUACGGCAGUAAUCCUACGUUCCACCCAUCCUUACAUCUGCACCCCGCGCAAUAGAACCGAAAACACACAUCCGAACGCGAGAAACCCCGAACCCAAUUCGAUUCGACUCUUUGUACUAUUGCAUAUAUGCCCUACGAUUACAUAACUAUUAAUUAAUUUAACUUGUUUGGAUCUAGUCGUAAAAUAUAAAUAAAGAUUGUAUAUUUCAAGAGGA